UACGAACCGUACGAACGUUAUUCGGAAUCACUGGGCUUAAAGGGUGCGUAGGCGGCGCGGAAAGUUGGGUGUGAAAUCCCUCGGCUCAACCGAGGAAUUGCGCCCAAAACUGCCGUGCUUGAGGGAGACAGAGGUGAGCGGAACUAAGGGUGGAGCGGUGAAAUGCGUUGAUAUCCUUAGGAACACCAGUGGCGAAAGCGGCUCACUGGGUCUCUUCUGACGCUGAGGCACGAAAGCUAGGGGAGCGAACGGG
rnacentral:rRNA from 1 species